AUGCCAGUUUAUAUGUUCUGAAGAUACAGUGUCUGGUAAAGCAUAUGACGAUGCAAUCCUAGUAUAAACCUUCCGUGUGUUUCUGUUCUGUCUUAGGCAUUAAAGGAUGUGUCUUUUUGGCUACUGCUCUGCUGGAGCUGAAACUUUCCCAAAACUCACAGCUAAGCAGUUCAGUGUGUGUUGCAUGGGACAGCUACAGAAUUCCAAUUACUGCAAUGACAUGUUUCCGCUCCAUUUCCGAACUCUCCUUACUGAAAGACAAACCUUAAAGAAGAGGAACCUAAUCACGAGCUUCAUUAUAUGCCCUGCCAUAGCAGGCAAGUGAAUAAGCAGGGUUCAGAUUGUUUCUUUCAGCUGAAAACCGUAUGUGCUGAUUGCAACUUUGUUAAAUACAUAAAUAACUGGAGCCCUUCCAAUCAGAGGCAGCCAAACCUUUUAAUCAUAUACAGAAGUGUUCCUCGUGACAUAAUUAUGCUAUCCA
rnacentral:lncRNA from 1 species